rnacentral:rRNA from 1 species
GAUGAACGCUGGCGGCGUGCCUAACACAUGCAAGUCGAGCGGUAUAUACUGGAACAAAACUUCGGUCUAGAGAAGGUAUAGAGAGCGGCGGACGGGUGAGUAACGCGUAGGCAACCUGCCCCAUACAGAGGGAUAGCCUCGGGAAACCGGGAUUAAAACCUCAUAACACGAGAGUUUCACAUGUUACUCUCGUCAAAGAUUUAUCGGUAUGGGAUGGGCCUGCGUCUGAUUAGCUAGUUGGUGAGGUAACGGCUCACCAAGGCAACGAUCAGUAGCCGACCUGAGAGGGUAAUCGGCCACAUUGGAACUGAGACACGGUCCAAACUCCUACGGGAGGCAGCAGUGGGGAAUCUUGCACAAUGGGCGAAAGCCUGAUGCAGCAACGCCGCGUGAGCGAUGAAGGCCUUUGGGUCGUAAAGCUCUGUCCUUGGGGAAGAAAAAAAUGAC